rnacentral:rRNA from 1 species
AGGAUGAACGCUAGCUACAGGCUAACACAUGCAAGUCGAGGGGCAGCAUUAUCGAAGCUUGCUUUGAUAGAUGGCGACCGGCGCACGGGUGAGUAACGCGUAUCCAACCUUCCCCAUAGUAGGGCAUAGCCCGUAGAAAUGCGGAUUAAUACCCUAUGUAUUCCGAGGAUGACAUCUGAUUCGGAACAAAGGUUCACCGCUAUGGGAUGGGGAUGCGUCUGAUUAGGUAGUAGGCGGGGUAACGGCCCACCUAGCCGACGAUCAGUAGGGGUUCUGAGAGGAAGGUCCCCCACAUUGGAACUGAGACACGGUCCAAACUCCUACGGGAGGCAGCAGUGAGGAAUAUUGGUCAAUGGGCGAGAGCCUGAACCAGCCAAGUAGCGUGCAGGAUGACGGCCCUAUGGGUUGUAAACUGCUUUUAUACAGGGAUAAAGUCGGGGACGCGUUCCCCGUUUGCAGGUACUGUAUGAAUAAGGACCGGCUAAUUCCGUGCCAGCCGCGGC